CCUACGGGAGGCAGCAGUGGGGAAUAUUGGGCAAUGGGCGCAAGCCUGACCCAGCAAUGCCGCGUGAAGGAAGAAGGCUUUCGGGUUGUAAACUUCUUUGACAGGGGAAGAGCAGAAGACGGUACCCUGAAAACAAACCACGGCUAACUACGUGCCAGCAGCCGCUGUAAUACGUAGGUGGCAAACGUUGUACGGAUUGACUGGGUGAAAAGGGCGUGUAGCCGGGAAGGCAAGUCAGCUGUGAAAUCUGGAGGCUCAACCUCCAAAUUGCAUUUGAAACUGUUUUUCUUGAGUACUGGAGAGGCAGACGGAAUUCCGUGUGUAGCGGUGAAAUGCGUAGAUAUAAGGAGGAACACCAGUGGCGAAGGCGGUCUGCUGGACAGCAACUGACGGUGAGGCGCGAAAGCGUGGGGAGCAAACAGGAUUAGAUACCCCAGUAGUC
rnacentral:rRNA from 1 species